rnacentral:rRNA from 1 species
GUCAGAGGAGGCAAGAGUUGUUCGGAAUCACUGGGCUUAAAGCGCGCGCGGGCGGCCCGUUAAGCGUCUUGUGAAAUCCCACGGCUCAACCGUGGAACUGCAGGGCGAACUGUCGGGCUUGAGGUCGGUAGAGGUGCCUGGAACUCUAGGUGGAGCGGUGCAAUGCGUAGAUAUCUAGAGGAACGCCAGAGGCGAAAGCGGGGCACUGGGCCGAUUCUGAUGCUGAGGCGCGAAAGCGUGGGGAGCAAACAGG